UACGAAGGGGGCUAGCGUUGCUCGGAAUCACUGGGCGUAAAGGGUGCGUAGGCGGGUCUUUAAGUCAGGGGUGAAAUCCUGGAGCCUCAACUCCAGAACUAGCCUUUGAUACUGAAGAUCUUGAAGUUCGGGAGAGGUGAGUGGAACUGACGAGUGUAGAGGUGAAAUUCGUAGAUAUUCGCAAGAACACCAGUGGCGAAGGCGGCUCACUGGCCCGGU
rnacentral:rRNA from 1 species